rnacentral:rRNA from 1 species
GAUGAACGCUGGCGGCGUGCCUAAUACAUGCAAGUCGAGCGAACGGACGAGAAGCUUGCUCCUCUGAUGUUAGCGGCGGACGGGUGAGUAACACGUGGAUAACCUACCUAUAAGACUGGGAUAACUUCGGGAAACCGGAGCUAAUACCGGAUAAUAUUUUGAACCGCAUGGCUCAAAAGUGAAAGACGGUCUUGCUGUCACUUAUAGAUGGAUCCGCGCUGCAUUAGCUAGUUGGUAAGGUAACGGCUUACCAAGGCAACGAUGCAUAGCCGACCUGAGAGGGUGAUCAGCCACACUGGAACUGAGACACGGUCCAGACUCCUACGGGAGGCAGCAGUAGGGAAUCUUCCGCAAUGGGCGAAAGCCUGACGGAGCAACGCCGCGUGAGUGAUGAAGGUCUUCGGAUCGUAAAACUCUGUUAUUAGGGAAGAACAUAUGUGUAAGUAACUGUGCACAUCUUGACGGUACCUAAUCAGAAAGCCACGGCUAACUACGUG